rnacentral:rRNA from 1 species
AAUAGAUACCCAGGUAGUCCACGCCGUAAACGAUGAGUGCUAAGUGUUAGGGGGUUUCCGCCCCUUAGUGCUGCAGCUAACGCAUUAAGCACUCCGCCUGGGGAGUACGGUCGCAAGACUGAAACUCAAAGGAAUUGACGGGGGCCCGCACAAGCGGUGGAGCAUGUGGUUUAAUUCGAAGCAACGCGAAGAACCUUACCAGGUCUUGACAUCCCAUUGACCACUAUGGAGACAUAGUUUUCCCUUCGGGGACAACGGUGACAGGUGGUGCAUGGUUGUCGUCAGCUCGUGUCGUGAGAUGUUGGGUUAAGUCCCGCAACGAGCGCAACCCUUGUUCUUAGUUGCCAUCAUUUAGUUGGGCACUCUAAGGAGACUGCCGGUGACAAACCGGAGGAAGGUGGGGAUGACGUCAAAUCAUCAUGCCCCUUAUGACCUGGGCUACACACGUGCUACAAUGGACGGUACAAACGGUUGCCAACCCGCGAGGGGAGCUAAUCCGAUAAAACCGUUCUCAGUUCGGAUUGUAGGCUGCAACUCGCCUAC